rnacentral:rRNA from 1 species
CGUUAGCGGCGGACGGGUGAGUAACACGUGGGUAACCUACCUAUAAGACUGGGAUAACUCCGGGAAACCGGGGCUAAUACCGGAUAACACAUGAAACCGCAUGGUUUCAUGAUGAAAGACGGUUUUGCUGUCACUUAUAGAUGGACCCGCGGCGUAUUAGCUAGUUGGUAAGGUAACGGCUUACCAAGGCAACGAUACGUAGCCGACCUGAGAGGGUGAUCGGCCACACUGGAACUGAGACAUGGUCCAG